rnacentral:rRNA from 1 species
UACAGAGGGUGCGAGCGUUACUCGGACUUACUGGGCGUAAAGGGCGCGUAGGCGGUGAGAUGUGUGUGAUGUGAAAGCCCCGGGCUCAACCCGGGAAGUGCACUCGAAACUGCGAGGCUAGAGUAUCGGAGAGGUUGGUGGAAUUCUCGGUGUAGAGGUGAAAUUCGUAGAUAUCGAGAGGAACACCGGUGGCGAAGGCGGCCAACUGGACGAAUACUGACGCUGAGACUCGAAAGCGUGGGGAGCAAACAGG